GAUGAACGCUGGCGGCGUGCCUAAUACAUGCAAGUCGAGCGAACAGACGAGGAGCUUGCUUCUCUGACGUUAGCGGCGGACGGGUGAGUAACACGUGGAUAACCUACCUAUAAGACUGGGAUAACUUCGGGAAACCGGAGCUAAUACCGGAUAAUAUAUUGAACCGCAUGGUUCAAUAGUGAAAGACGGUUUUGCUGUCACUUAUAGAUGGAUCCGCGCCGCAUUAGCUAGUUGGUAAGGUAACAGCUUACCAAGGCAACGAUGCGUAGCCGACCUGAGAGGGUGAUCGGCCACACUGGAACUGAGACACGGUCCAGACUCCUACGGGAGGCAGCAGUAGGGAAUCUUCCGCAAUGGGCGAAAGCCUGACGGAGCAACGCCGCGUGAGUGAUGAAGGUCUUCGGAUCGUAAAACUCUGUUAUUAGGGAAGAACAAAUGUGUAAGUAACUAUGCACGUCUUGACGGUACCUAAUCAGAAAGCCACGGCUAACUACGUG
rnacentral:rRNA from 1 species